UCUAAGGAACUCGGCAAAAUAGCCCCGUAACUUCGGGAGAAGGGGUGCCUCCUUACAAAGGGGGUCGCAGUGACCAGGACCUGGGAGAUUGUUUACCAAAAACACAGGUCUCCGCAAAGUCGUACGACCAUGUAUGGGGGUUGACGCCUGCCCAGUCCCGGAAGGUCAAGAAAGUUGGUGACCGGAUGACAGGGGAGCCGGCGACCGAAGCCUCGGUGAACGGCGGCCGUAACUAUAGCGGUCCUAAGGUAGCAAAAUUCCUUGUCGGGUAAGUUCCGACAUGUCGGGUAAGUUCUGACAUGUCUGUGA
rnacentral:ncRNA from 1 species